UACGGAGGGUGCAAGCGUUAUCCGGAUUUACUGGGCUUAAAGGGUGCGUAGGCGGAUCGGCAAGUCAGGGGUGAAAUCUUCGAGCUUAACUCGGAAAUUGCCUUUGAUACUAUCUAUCUUGAAUAUUGUGGAGGUAAGCGGAAUAUGUCAUGUAGCGGUGAAAUGCUUAGAGAUGACAUAGAACACCUAUUGCGAAGGCAGCUUACUACGCAUAUAUUGACGCUGAGGCACGAAAGCGUGGGGAUCAAACAGG
rnacentral:rRNA from 1 species